GUAUCAAAAUGAAGUGUCUGUUUAUAGUAGCCGUUUUGUUGCCUUUUGUUUUUGGAGCCCUCCAAGAAAGAUUUUUGACUGAUAACAAUCAACCAGACUUAGACCAAGUCAUACAGUUAGUUCGAGGGUUCGCUCAUUCUGAUAUGGGACAAACAGCUUGUGUAAUAGCUUGUGGAACAGCGGUUUCUUCAACAGGAGCCGGGGCUCUAUUGACUCUUCUGUGUCCUGCCGCCUGUGAAGCAGUUCUCAAACAAGUGAAAUAGACAUUAGAACAAAUUUAAUUGGAAAUUAUUUAUGAAUAAAAGCUGAAUUAUAUAA